UACAGGGGGUGCAAACGUUGCUCGGAAUUAUUGGGCGUAAAGCGCGCGUAGGCGGCUACUUAAGUCGGAUGUGAAAGCCCUUGGCUCAACUGAGGAAGUGCACCCGAAACUGAGUGGCUUGAGUACCAAAGAGGGUCGCGGAAUUCCCGGUGUAGAGGUGAAAUUCGUAGAUAUCGGGAGGAACACCGGUGGCGAAGGCGGCGACCUGGGUGGAUACUGACGCUGAGGCGCGAAAGCGUGGGGAGCAAACAGG
rnacentral:rRNA from 1 species